rnacentral:other from 1 species
UGCUCUCUGGGGUGUUUGCCAGUCUUUGAAGUCCUCGAGCCUUAAAUAUUAUUUUGGAGGUUCCUAAGCAUUGAGGGCGUGCAUGUCCGCCUUGAGCGGAAAGCCCGAAUCAAUUCUGGAACCGCCACCUUGGACCUCUCGGUUCAAGGCCUUUCUCUGACAGCGGCACAGUGGAGAGCCC